UACGAAGGGGGCUAGCGUUGUUCGGAAUUACUGGGCGUAAAGCGUGCGCAGGCGGCUUCUCAAGUCAGGGGUGAAAGCCCAGAGCUCAACUCUGGAAUUGCCUUUGAGACUGAGUGGCUUGAGUACGAGAGAGGUGAAUGGAAUUCCCAGUGUAGAGGUGAAAUUCGUAGAUAUUGGGAAGAACACCGGUGGCGAAGGCGGCUCACUGGCUCGUAACUGACGCUCAUGCACGACAGCGUGGGGAUCAAACAGG
rnacentral:rRNA from 1 species